AGACAGCAAAAGGUAAGUGCUUUUUUCAUUCAUUGCACAUUCGCUAUUGUGGACCUAAAGUCGUCUUCAUUGACCGCUGCUAUUAUGUUGCCUUUUAAUUCCGUAUCUGUGUGAUGUUUAUCUGCACAUAUGUAUUGCAAUAGAGGUUUGGUUAUUUUUUGCACUGAUUAUUGCUUCUUGAAUGAACACUUGCUUUGGUUUAAGUUACCCUUUCAGCCCUUAUCUGAUUGACGUGUAUGAACAUAUGAACAUAUAUGUCCUUCAGUAGACUUUGGGAGAGUUUUUUUUUCACUCAUCUGUGCCUUUUUAAUGAUGGUUUAUGUGGCGUUCAUUUACCCUUUAAUUGCUUUUCUGUGUGAAGUAUAUUUGAACGUAUGUAUUAACCGAUUAUUGCAUCUUAAACGGUCCCUUGUUUCAGGUGCCCUUUAUUUGUUUGCUUACAUCCAUGAGGGUCCAUUGAAUGAUUACUUGUAUUGGCUUAAGUUACCCUUGAACUCUUAAUCUGUGUUUGGCCUCUUUGAUGAUCUCUUUUAUUACGUUGCCCUUUAAUUCCUUAUCUGUGUGAAGUACCUGUGCACAUAUGUGUCGCGAUAGAUGUUUUUGUUUGCACUGAUUCGUUCGUUGAAUACGUACCUGCAUUGGUUUAAGUCAUCCUUUAAUUCCGGAUGGGCUUGAAGCUCCUUUUU